rnacentral:snRNA from 1 species
GGAUGUGAGGGCAAUCCGGCUGUGACAUCUGUCACCCCGUAAUCAUCAGGGUUGACUCUGCUAUUGGUUGGCUAGAUGGCUGUCCCCUUCCUUCCUCACUGCUCCAUGUGCGUCCCUCCCUAAGCUGAGUGCUCAGUCAGUCCAAGGGGACGACCUUCCCUGAAUAGAGGAGGACCAGUCUCUGGUUAAGGAGGCUCCCCUCUUAGAGCCUCCAAUGAGCUCUCAAGAAACAGACAACAUCUGAGCACUGCCUAGCAGACAGACCCUU